GACGAACGCUGGCGGCGUGCUUAACACAUGCAAGUCGAACGGAAAGGCCCUGCUUGCAGGGUACUCGAGUGGCGAACGGGUGAGUAACACGUGGGUGAUCUGCCCUGCACUUCGGGAUAAGCCUGGGAAACUGGGUCUAAUACCGGAUAGGAGCCAUUUUUAGUGUGAUGGUUGGAAAGUUUUUUCGGUGUAGGAUGAGCUCGCGGCCUAUCAGCUUGUUGGUGGGGUAAUGGCCUACCAAGGCGGCGACGGGUAGCCGGCCUGGGAGGGUGGACGGCCACAUUGGGGCUGAGAUACGGCCCAGACUCCUACGGGAGGCAGCAGUGGGGAAUAUUGCACAAUGGGCGCAAGCCUGAUGCAGCGACGCCGCGUGGGGGAUGACGGCCUUCGGGUUGUAAACUCCUUUCGCUAGGGACGAAGCUUUUUGUGACGGUACCUAGAUAAGAAGCACCGGCUAACUACGUG
rnacentral:rRNA from 1 species